UACGUAGGGGGCAAGCGUUGUCCGGAAUCAUUGGGCGUAAAGCGCGUGUAGGCGGCCCGAUAAGUCCGCUGUGAAAGUCCAGGGCUCAACCCUGGAAUGCCGGUGGAUACUGUCGGGCUAGAGUGCGGAAGAGGCGAGUGGAAUUCCUGGUGUAGCGGUGAAAUGCGCAGAUAUCAGGAGGAACACCAAUUGCGAAGGCAGCUCGCUGGGACGUAACUGACGCUGAGACGCGAAAGCGUGGGGAGCAAACAGG
rnacentral:rRNA from 1 species